UCUGGAGCGGUUGCCGCCGUGGCGUAGGGUGGCACCUCCUUUCCUCUACCGCUUCGCCGACGCGCUCCGCCGCGGAACCCUCCUCCGCGGCCCCAGCGGCCACUUGCCGGACCUGCUGCCGACGGAGUACGUAUAGAAGUCGAAGGAGUCGGGCUAGGGUCUAUCCAUAUUGUGGCGGGAGCAAACGGUGUCUACCGCGAAGGACCGUACGGUAGGAGCCAAUACCAACGCACAACUCUCCGGUGAGUCUUUACAUUUCCUCGGACCUCAAAUAGGUUUAGAGCUCCGACGAUAAAGACGACGAUCCGGGCCACUGUGAUAAGAUUAACGACGGCCACCGUGGAUAGAACGUACAUUAUAGGUUUAUUUCUUCGGGGAAACGUAAUAACCGCCCCCACUCGAAGGACUACUGUGACAUAACUGUACAAGGGCACCGAGGCUGUUCAUACGAGGAAAGAAGCUAAAAUUUAAAGGGACAGAAAUAAAGAACGAUGACAAACCACAAAUGAUGGUUAGGAAUACACGACAGUAAUAUCAUCCGUCAUCGGGUAAAAAUGUUCUGACUCCAAGAGGACCUUGACUUUAGGCAGGGAAGCCAUGUGAAUUAUUUGGACUAAUACUUCAAAGGAUAGUUAAUGUAAUGGGGCGUACUACCGAUCCAACGAGAUACGGUUUAAACAAUUGAAAAAUGACCUCGGCUGGUGUCAAUAUUAAGAAGCAUAGUGUAUCGCCCAAAAAGACCUUCGUGAAAAAACGCAAAGAUAAAAAACCAUUAUUUGGUUAUCAUUCAACUUUCGUCACCAUCUCAGAGAGAUGAACACCGGAACUCUAGGACCCAAACUUGGUCGGAGGAACGUCUUAAUAAUAAUACGUUCCCAUUCCGACAGAUCUUUAAGGGAAAGGGCCUAGGGUGGAACACACCCUCGAAUGUCGUGACCCAUGUGGGAAAAUAUCAACUUUCUGGAAAAAACGGUAUACGACACCAUCUUUAUCUUUCAAAGGCUCUAUGUGUACGGAAAUCUAACAAGUUUUGAUUGUUAAACCUUAGAACUUUGACUCUUAAAUAUAGAAGACCUAGGACCUCCUAAUACCCAAAUAUCAAGGAAGUGAACACUUACAAACAGACAUUUGAUUCCACCAUCACGUUCAAGUCAAACACUUACAAGCAGUCAUUCGAUUCCUUCAUGUUCAGAUGUUUGACGAUACACAAGGGAUAGAUAAGUGGACACGGUAUAGGAGUGUAGCAGAGUACAGAAACACACGAUUUGAUAGACGCGUCACGUGACCUCAAGGAAAGGUGCACGUUCUAGCGGUUAGAAUGAUAGUUCCGCCUCGAGCCUACGACGGACGAAGUGGCUUCGCCGUUCGAUUGAUAAGUCCUCACGAACGAGGUCACGCUCGGUUUGGGAGACCUGAUGGACAGGAAGGGCUAUCAGUCGUGCCGCUAGCUUAUGUUAGGUAAUAGUAGCAGCGAGUUCCUCGUCGUCCCCGUGCCGCACUGCCAGCAGGCGUGGGCCUAGCUUCCGCCGCGGUUCCGCCAGGCCUGGUUGCCCUGGGACCGCGACGUCGCGCACGCCCGGUAGAUGCGGGCGUCCAGGCAGAAGAAGACCAAGCUCCAUCCCCUCUUCGACCUUGGGGACACUUUGGUCAUUCGACAACCUAGGACAUUAGAGUAAGUUGGAUGGCAACUCUCGUUUGAGAACAUACUACAGACAAAGUACCGACAACAUUGUAGACUGUUACUAUUUAACAUGACGACGAAUAACUGUAAAAAACUUAGCAGUACCUCGUAACACAACGGGGAAUGUUUUACUUCACUUAGACUUAAUCUUUCAGCAAAAAGUGCGCAUGGAAACCG
rnacentral:rRNA from 1 species